UACGAGGGUGCAAACGUUGCUCGGAAUAUUGGGCGUAAAGCGCACGUAGGCGGCUGUUAAGUCGGGUGUGAAAGCCCUUGGCUUAACCGAGGAAGUGCAUCCGAAACUGGCGAGCUAGAGUACGAAAGAGGAUCGCGGAAUUCCCGGUGUAGAGGUGAAAUUCGUAGAUAUCGGGAGGAACACCGGUGGCGAAGGCGGCGAUCUGGGUCGAUACUGACGCUGAGGUGCGAAAGCGUGGGGAGCAAACAGG
rnacentral:rRNA from 1 species